rnacentral:rRNA from 1 species
CUUUGGUCUGAUGAAGUUUGUGUCUCUGUCAAGUUCUCUAAUCACUAUAUGAUUUUAGCCCUUGUUGUCAAUAAAAUUACCAAUGUGGAAUUUGUUCUGGCUUGUGUUUAUGGAGAUCCCCAUCAUCGCCACACUAACCUAAUUUGGGAUCAUCUUCUAAAUUUUGUUAAUGAUAACAUAGGGAAGCCAAUUGUUUGUUUCGGUGAUCUGAAUGAUAUCAUGUGUGAUACGGAAACUACUUCUCUCAAUGUGAAUAAGAACCGUAUGCGUGCUGUCAAUAACUAUGUCAAGCAAUGUGGUCUGUUUGAUCCGGGGUUUAGUGGACCGGCUUAUACUUGGACAAAUAUGCGGUUCUCCUCAAGACCUAUCUUUGAAAGGCUGGAUCGUUGUCUUGCCAAUGCAGAUUGGUGUGUUAUGUUUCCUAAUACUAAUAUUUUUAAUUUACCAAUCAUUCAUUCGCUGAGUGAUCAUGCACCUAUUCUGAUAUCCACUGAUUCUCAGUUUCGUAGGCCUAAACUACACUUUAAAUUUGAAAAUUGA